rnacentral:rRNA from 1 species
GGAUGCGAUCAUACCAGCACUAAAGCACCGGAUCCCAUCAGAACUCCGAAGUUAAGCGUGCUUUGGCGAGUGUAGUACUAGGAUGGUGACCUCCUGGGAAGUCCUCGUGUUGCAUUCC